ACACCUCNAUCGCCAGGGAACUACGAGCUAAGCUUAAAACUCAAAGGACUUGACGGUACCCCAUAUCCCCCUAGAGGAGCCUGUCCUAUAAUCGAUAAUCCCCGUUAAACCUCACCACUUUUAGCUUCUCAGCCUGUAUACCUCCGUCGUCAGCUUACCACGUGAGCGAAAUUUAGUGAGCUUAAUGUCCACACGCCCGUACGUCAGGUCAAGGUGCAGUAAAUGAAGUGGCAAGAGAUGGGCUACACUUUCUAGUAUAGAAAAUACGAAAGACCACAUAUGAAAACUGGUCAAAAGGCGGAUUUAGUAGUAAAAGAAAAGCAGAGUGUUUCUUUUAAUAUGGCACUGGGGU
rnacentral:rRNA from 1 species